CCGACAAUUGUUAAUCUUAGUUAGGGACAACCAGUUGAUGUGUCGAAUGCUACAGGACGGGGUAGGCGAGAAUCUAGGAGGGUGAGGCGUGAGGAGUAUGAUAGUGACAUGGAUGAUGAUGAGGCUAAUGAUGUUGAUUUGGGACAAACGAAGAAUAGAGGUGAUAUGAUAGAAAGAUAGGGCAAACAUAAUGUUGGUGAUGAAGUGGAUGGUAAUUUGAAAAAUAUUAAAAUAACGAUACCGCAAUUUAAGGGGACAAGUGACCCGGAGGCGUACUUAGAAUGGGAAAGGAAGGUUGAAUUGAUUUUUGAGUGCCAUAAUUAGUUGGAAGAAAAGAAGGUGAAAUUAGCAAUUCUUAAAUUCAUUGACUAUGCAAUAUCUUGGUGGGAUUAGGUGAUUACUUCACAGUGUAGGCAUGGAGAGAGACUAAUUAGCACUUGGGAUGAGUUGAAGGUGUUAAUGAGAAGACACUUUGUUCCUAAUCACUAUUAUAGGAAAAUCCAUCGAAGGUUGCAAAGCUUGUAUCAAGGGUCAAAGAGCGUAGAGGAUUACCAUAAGGAGAUGGAGAUGCUUAUGAUUAGGACGAAUGUGGUGGAGGAUCGGGAAGCUAUUAUGGCUCGAUUCUUGAAUGGGUUAAAUAGUAAGAUUGCUAAUGCCGUUGAAUUGCAGCACUACGUAGAGCCAGAGGAUAUGUUGUACGUUACCAUGAAGGUGGAGAGACAAUUGAAGAUGAAGGGAACAACUAGGCAGCCAAUAGAUACUUCGGGUUCUAAUUCAUCUUGAAAGCCAAGGUGGGAUAAUAACAAAGGUGAUAGGGCUGUACCUAAAUGUAGGAAUGAUUGGCCAAAGGAAAAGGUUGAAGGCGCUAGCAAAACAAUAUCAAAAUCGCAAUCGCAAUCAUCAAGGAGUCGAGACAUCAAGUGCUUUAG
rnacentral:lncRNA from 1 species